rnacentral:lncRNA from 1 species
ACAGGACCACUACUUUAAGAAGGGUAAACUAGCCCCACUACCCAUACAUGUAUGUCAACUAUACAAGCAGGAGCGGGUAAAUCACCCUUACAGAAUCAUUGUUGUUACCCGCUGCGAAACAAGCAAGGUUUGCAACAAGACUCAAGGGAUGCCAACUCGACUAUCUUCUUCCCCUCACCCUUUACUUUCCAGGCUAUUCUCUAGCUCAGGAACUGGCACCGAGUAAACCCUC